rnacentral:rRNA from 1 species
GACGAACGCUGGCGGCAGGCCUAACACAUGCAAGUCGAGCGGACCUUUCGGGGUCAGCGGCGGACGGGUGAGUAACGCGUGGGAAUAUGCCCUUCUCUACGGAAUAGUCCUGGGAAACUGGGGGUAAUACCGUAUACGCCCUUUGGGGGAAAGAUUUAUCGGGGAAGGAUUAUCCCGCGUUGGAUUAGGUAGUUGGUGGGGUAAUGGCCUACCAAGCCGACGAUCCAUAGCUGGUUUGAGAGGAUGAUCAGCCACACUGGGACUGAGACACGGCCCAGACUCCUACGGGAGGCAGCAGUGGGGAAUCUUAGACAAUGGGGGCAACCCUGAUCUAGCCAUGCCGCGUGAGUGAUGAAGGCCUUAGGGUUGUAAAGCUCUUUCAGCUGGGAAGAUAAUGACGGUACCAGCAGAAGAAGCCCCGGCUAACUCCGUG